rnacentral:rRNA from 1 species
CUUGAGUGUGGUAGGGGCAGAGGGAAUUCCCGGUGUAGCGGUGAAAUGCGUAGAUAUCGGGAAGAACACCAGUGGCGAAGGCGCUCUGCUGGGCCAUCACUGACGCUCAUGGACGAAAGCCAGGGGAGCGAAAGGGAUUAGAUACCCCUGUAGUCCUGGCCGUAAACGAUGAACACUAGGUGUCGGGGGAAUCGACCCCUCCGGUGUCGUAGCCAACGCGUUAAGUGUUCCGCCUGGGGAGUACGCACGCAAGUGUGAAACUCAAAGGAAUUGGCGGGGGCCCGCACAAGCGGUGGAGUAUGUGGUUUAAUUCGAUGCAACGCGAAGAACCUUACCAGGGUUUGACAUCCUGCGAAUCUCUUGGAAACUUGAGAGUGCCUUCGGGAGCGCAGUGACAGGUGGUGCAUGGCUGUCGUCAGCUCGUGUCGUGAGAUGUUGGGUUAAGUCCCGCAACGAGCGCAACCCACGUCUUUAGUUGCCAGCAUUUAGUUGGGCACUCUAGAGAGACCGCCGGUGAUAAACCGGAGGAAGGUGUGGAUGACGUCAAGUCAUCAUGCCCCUUACAUCCUGGGCUACACACGUACUACAAUGCUACGGACAAAGGGCAGCAAGUUCGCGAGGACAAGCAAAUCCCAUAAACCGUGGCUCAGUUCAGAUCGUAGGCUGCAACUCGCCUACGUGAAGGAGGAAUCGCUAGUAAUCGCAGGUCAGAAUACUGCGGUGAAUACGUUCCCGGGCCUUGUACACACCGCCC